rnacentral:rRNA from 1 species
UGUAGGUGGGGGAGUAACUAGUCGAAAGAUUAGCUAAUACCGCAUACGACCUGAGGGUGAAAGUGGGGGGACCGGCAAGGCCUCAUGCUAUAGGAGCGGCCGAUGUCUGAUUAGCUAGUUGGUGGGGUAAAGGCCUACCAAGGCGACGAUCAGUAGCUGGUCUGAGAGGACGAUCAGCCACACUGGGACUGAGACACGGCCCAGACUCCUACGGGAGGCAGCAGCG